GUUAGGAUAUGAUGAAUAUCAGAGGCUGUUUCUGAGGAUGAGCCUAGGGCCCAUCCUGUGCUGCAAAAUAACUGAUUGCCUAUCUGAUCCAAAG